UGCCCCAUGGCUGAGUUGGUUACAGCGUCCGACUGUUAUCCAAUACUUCAUUGGGAUAGGUUAUCGGAAGGUCGAGAGUUCGAGCCUCUCUGGGGCAG
rnacentral:tRNA from 1 species